rnacentral:rRNA from 1 species
UACGUAGGGUGCGAGCGUUGUCCGGAAUUAUUGGGCGUAAAGAGCUCGUAGGCGGUCUGUCGCGUCGGUCGUGAAAACUUGGGGCUUAACCCUGAGCUUGCGGUCGAUACGGGCAUGACUGGAGUUCGGCAGGGGAGACUGGAAUUCCUGGUGUAGCGGUGAAAUGCGCAGAUAUCAGGAGGAACACCGGUGGCGAAGGCGGGUCUCUGGGCCGAUACUGACGCUGAGGCGCGAAAGCUAGGGGAGCAAGCGGG